CUGAGGCGGCCGCGGGUGCGCUUCUCGGCGGGGCCGGGCAGGGCCGUCGCCUGGCGGUGAAGAAGCGCUCCCGGGGAGGGCACCAUGGCCACCAGCUAGGGCGGCGGGAGAAACGGCCGAAGCCCAAGAUGCCGGAGCGGCGUCACGGCUUCGCCUCCGCCAUCGUAGAUGCUGACCAUCUUUCUGAAGUAGAAUCUCCAUGGCCUGAACAUUUCUUGACAAAAAUAAUUUUGAGUAAAAUAUAUGUUUAAAAAGAAGAUAACCACAUCAAGAUGGUGGGAAAACUGAAGCAGAACCUACUUUUGGCAUGUCUGGUGAUUAGUUCUGUGACAGUGUUUUACUUGGGCCAGCAUGCCAUGGAGUGCCAUCACCGAAUAGAGGAGCGCAGCCAGCCAGCUAGACUGGAGAACCCCAAGACGACGACUGUGCGACCUGACCUGGACAGCAAAGCCAACCAAACAUUCACCUAUCACAAAGAUAUGCCUUUAAUAUUUAUUGGAGGUGUGCCCCGGAGUGGAACAACGCUCAUGAGGGCUAUGCUGGAUGCACAUCCUGACAUCCGCUGUGGAGAGGAAACCCGCGUCAUCCCUCGGAUCCUUGCCCUGAAGCAGAUGUGGUCCCGGUCCAGUAAAGAGAAGAUCCGCCUGGACGAGGCUGGUGUCACUGAUGAAGUGCUGGAUUCUGCCAUGCAAGCCUUCCUUCUGGAGGUUAUUGUUAAACAUGGGGAGCCAGCGCCUUAUUUAUGUAACAAAGAUCCUUUUGCCCUGAAAUCCUUGACUUACCUUGCUAGGUUAUUUCCCAAUGCCAAAUUUCUCCUGAUGAUCCGAGAUGGCCGGGCAUCAGUGCAUUCGAUGAUUUCUCGAAAAGUAACCAUAGCGGGAUUUGACCUGAACAGCUACAGGGACUGCUUGACCAAGUGGAAUCGGGCCAUAGAAACCAUGUACAACCAGUGUGUGGAGGUUGGGUAUAAAAAGUGCAUGAUGGUCCACUAUGAACAGCUUGUCUUACAGCCAGAACGGUGGAUGAGAACGCUCUUGAAGUUCCUCCAGAUCCCAUGGAACCAUUCAGUUUUGCACCAUGAGGAAAUGAUCGGGAAAGCUGGGGGAGUGUCUCUGUCAAAAGUGGAAAGAUCAACAGACCAAGUCAUCAAGCCUGUCAACAUGGGGGCUCUAGCAAAGUGGGUUGGGAAGAUACCCUCAGAUGUUCUACAAGACAUGGCAGUAAUUGCACCCAUGCUUUCUAAACUUGGAUAUGAUCCAUAUGCCAAUCCCCCUAACUACGGAAAACCUGACCCCAAGAUCCUUGAAAACACCAGAAGGGUCUAUAAAGGAGAAUUUCAGCUACCUGACUUUCUGAAAGAAAAGCCCCAGGUGCUGGCCUCCCAAAGGACUGCACCGGAGAGCUCUCCCAAGGUGCAGUCCCCAGCCAUAUCAGCCCAGGAUGUAUAAAGGCAAACCCGUAAAAUGACCGAGCGAUUGGAGUAGCUGAGCCUGGAACUUCCCACAGUGAGGGAUGACUGCUGCCUUUUCUACAGAAGGGAAAUCUCUGGAACUGCUGUCUCCUGCAGGGAGAGAUGCUGUGACCCAAUCCAUGGCUUCUGCUCACCUGCCAGCCUCCUGUCCCUAGGGAGGUGCCACAGCCGGCCUCCCUGAGUGAUGGCUCUCGAGCCCAGUGACUCGCACAGCCCUCAAGAUGAGGAGCCCAGCAGGGACACGGUUCUGUUACAGCUCCUCUUGUCCUUGUCGUUCUUAUCAGAUUCCAGUCUUAAUUUCAAGAGAAGGAGAGUUUAAGGAAGGCAUUUGGUUAACAAAAUUGGCAGUCUCGUUCAGAAUCGGUUGUCUGUACACGUUCCAGUGUUUUGUAGAACACUUGUGCCUGUUUAAAUACAUUGAUGUGGAUAAUAGUAAAUACCUUAAUUAUUUCAAUGAUUGAUUGUAUUGUUUCAGAGAGUUGGGAAUAGCUGUAUACAUUUACAGCCUAAUGACUUUUGUAUUUUAUUUUUCAAAAUAAAAGCUUAAAUGUGAA